GAAGGAACCAGACCUUCAGGGAUUGGUCAAGAAUUCUCAUUUUGAACACUCUACAGUUUACUUCAUCAGACCUGAGGGAGAGACCUAGGCUGUUGGAUCACUUGAUGGCCAUCAGGAUGACUCCACAGCAACUCAAGCCAGUAGACAAUGUGCCCAUCUCUUAGGGCUGAGAAGAAAAUGUACUCUGCAACUACCUACUUUUACACAGUUGUCCGUUAGCGUCGGCAUGUC